GUCUUCAAAUUCUCGAUGUUUAAAGGUCAGCGGGAGAUUCAUGCAGGGUCAGAAUGGUUAAGUCUGUUUAAAUGCUUGUUAAAUGCACGUUUUCACUCUUGUGCUGAUGCACGUCUGUACUGCUUUUGGGCCUGGCUGACAAACCACUGCCUCGUCUUUACUCCCCGAUGGGCUUGGGUAGCAAAAAAUAAACUCAAGAAGGACAAACAAAC